GAUGAACGCUGGCGGCGUGCCUAAUACAUGCAAGUCGAGCGAACAGACGAGGAGCUUGCUCCUCUGACGUUAGCGGCGGACGGGUGAGUAACACGUGGAUAACCUACCUAUAAGACUGGGAUCACUUCGGGAAACCGGAGAUAAUACCGGAUAAUAUAUUGAACCGCAUUGUUCAAUAGUGAAAGACGGUUUUGCUGUCACUUCUAGCUGGAUCCGCGCCGCAUUAGCUAGUUGGUAAGGUAACGGCUUAUCAAGGCAACGAUGCGUAGCCGACCUGGCGGGGUGAUCGCCCACACUGGAGCGUGACCACGGUCAAGGGUCCUACGGGAGGCAGCAGUAGGGAACCUGCCGCAAUGGGCGAAAGCCUGACGGAGCAACGGCGAGUGAGUGAUGAAGGUGUUCGGAGCGUAAUACUCUGUUAUUAGGGAAGAACAAAUGUGUAAGUAACUAUGCACGUCUUGACGGUACCUAAUCAGAAAGCCACGGCUAACUACGUG
rnacentral:rRNA from 1 species